rnacentral:other from 15 species
AUGGCGUUAGUAUGAGUGUCGUGCAGCCUCCAGGACCCCCCCUCCCGGGAGAGCCAUAGUGGUCUGCGGAACCGGCGAGUACACCGGAAUUGCCAGGACGACCGGGUCCUUUCUUGGAUUAACCCGCUCAAUGCCUGGAGAUUUGGGCGUGCCCCCGCGAGACUGCUAGCCGAGUAGUGUUGGGUCGCGAAAGGCCU